rnacentral:rRNA from 1 species
GACGAACGCUGGCGGCGUGCUUAACACAUGCAAGUCGAACGGAAAGGCCCUGCUUUUGUGGGGUGCUCGAGUGGCGAACGGGUGAGUAACACGUGAGUAACCUGCCCUUGACUUUGGGAUAACUUCAGGAAACUGGGGCUAAUACCGGAUAGGAGCUCCUGCUGCAUGGUGGGGGUGGGAAGGUUCGGCGGUUGGGGAUGGACUCGCGGCUUAUCAGCUUGUUGGUGGGGUAGUGGCUUACCAAGGCUUUGACGGGUAGCCGGCCUGAGAGGGUGACCGGCCACAUUGGGACUGAGAUACGGCCCAGACUCCUACGGGAGGCAGCAGUGGGGAAUAUUGCACAAUGGGCGGAAGCCUGAUGCAGCAACGCCGCGUGCGGGAUGACGGCCUUCGGGUUGUAAACCGCUUUCGCCUGUGACGAAGCGUGAGUGACGGUAAUGGGUAAAGAAGCACCGGCUAACUACGUG